rnacentral:rRNA from 1 species
GACGAACGCUGGCGGCGUGCUUAACACAUGCAAGUCGAACGGAAAGGCCCUGCUUUUGUGGGGUGCUCGAGUGGCGAACGGGUGAGUAACACGUGAGUAACCUGCCCUUGACUUUGGGAUAACUUCAGGAAACUGGGGCUAAUACCGGAUAGGAGCUCCUGCUGCAUGGUGGGGGUUGGAAAGUUUCGGCGGUUGGGGAUGGACUCGCGGCUUAGCAGCUUGUUGGUGGGGUAGUGGCUUACCAAGGCUUUGACGGGUAGCCGGCCUGAGAGGGUGACCGGCCACAUUGGGACUGAGAGACGGCCCAGACUGCUACGGGAGGCAGCAGGGGGGAAUAUUGCACAAUGGGCGGAAGCCUGAUGCAGCAACGCCGCGUGCGGGAUGAAGGCCUUCGGGUUGUAAACCGCUUUCGCCUGUGACGAAGCGUGAGUGACGGUAAUGGGUAAAGAAGCACCGGCUAACUACGUG